AAAAAAAACUAAUGAAGCUCUUGCUUUAUUUAAAUACGUUUAAACUUAAAGACAUUUUUUUAAUACUGACCAUAGCGAGUUUUUCAAAGAUAAUUUAUGAAAACCCAUAUCCAUAUCACUUUUCAUUUUCACGCAUAAAAAAACGAGAAACAAUAGUUUUCCUUUUUUAUCUGUUUACUGGUACCCUUGGGAGUCCAUUGGGAUGUCCCUU
rnacentral:lncRNA from 1 species